GCCAUGUCACCCUGCACCCUUGUCCUGCGUUAGUCUCAUCCAUAACAGCUCCUGUCGCCUGUGGAGGGGUGCACCAUCACCUGUCAGAAACGAGCGUAUCGUCAGACCCUCAAACACGGGUGCUUGCUGCUGGCUCAGCCUGGCCCUGGGCUGCCUGUACUUCCAGCCCCUCAAGGACAGGGGCACGCGACCACCUCACCCUGGGUUGUUGCAAAACACAGCUAUUCAUGGAAACAUUCAGUGCGCCUUGUCUAAACCACCACGUAAGGAUUAUGGCCGUGAUAUAAACCCAAGAGGGAUGUGGUUUCCCCAGGCUGGCAGCGCCGUGCAGCUCCCUGUGCAGCUGCGGGGAAUUAACGGAGGGAGCAGCAAAGCAAAGCAGCCGUCUGCGUUAUCUGCAGAUGCUGUUGAAAAUAGCACUGCCCUGGGAUGGCCUAACGGAGAAAUUUGUCCCCGUCACAGCAGAACCUUCAGAAAUGAGUCCUUGUCAAUUUAGCGGCAAAAUCCUUUCUCUGCUGUGUUCUGUGACAAAGGUGGAGAAUAAAUAUUCUGGGCUGGGAAUUGUACAGAAGGAGCCCUUAGAAGUUCUGCAGUCCCUGGUUUCGGGCCAUUAGCAAGGGGUUGUUUCAAGCUGUAAAAAAGGAGCGUAAAUAUUCCCUAGUUAAUCUCUCUUCUUUGUCCGGAUUCUUCUCAUGUCUCCAGCUGCUGCAUCCAUGUGCUUCCCCAGCUGGAAGGCAGCCAGGCGCAGGGCAGGCGAGUCUGUAAGCUUGCAGGUUCCCUCUCACAGUGUUCAGAAAGCAGGGAAAAAGCACUAGAGAAAGGCAGUGGUGGCUCUUCCCUGGGCUGUUCUGCACCUUUUUGGUACGCUGUUACCCCACAAGCUGAUGGUUACUAGCAUAAGGAUGGCUGUGCUGGUGGUUUUCCAUUCCUAGUGGAAGGGUGAGGUUUCUGCUUCUGGCUGGUGUAGUUCAUCACAGCUACUAGUAAAACCAAUGGCUGAAGGUCCUUGUACUCCACUUUGGCCCCGGUCCAAGCACUGCAUGUACUUACAUUGGCAUGCUGCAAUGUAGUAUAAACCUCUGAUCGUAAACAGAGGUUAGAUACAUACUGCUGAGACAACUGAUAACGGCCAGAAAUAAAACAAACCACGGUUUGUUGCUAUGAUGGUGCUUGUCUUUUGGAGGAGGAGGUGUCGCCUUUUUUCUGAUGCUGAUAACCUUCCCUGGUGGAGCAGCCAGCCCUUCUAGGAGAAGAAAUGUGACUGUCACUGUAUAGUAUCUCUGUCUCUCCUACUUGGUAUGUUAAACUGUGUAUAAAAGACUGCUUGUUUGUAUACUGGGCAAAGAUGCUAACUCCUUUGAAGUUGGUUGAAGGAAGGAUUUUACUUGUUAUCUUGUUAUCUUUCUUUUUAGUUGUUAUUUUACUUGUUAUCUUUCAGGCGGUUCUUGGCUAGGUCUGGAUGCACAAAACAUACGGACUCCCCAAGACCCUUCCUCCCCUCCCUUGCUCAUGAGGAAGAUGGACUUGAUGUUGUAGAAGAGCAUGUUCUCACACUGUAAGCAAGCUGCGGUGCUGUUCACAGCAGCAUGGGUCAGAGAAGCAAGUUUCAUUCGCUCUUGUCUAUGGCUGUUAUUCAGAGAGAGUCACGGACCUCAAUUUGCCAUUCAAAAAGCUCCUGUUACUCUUACUUUCUGCAAUGGAAGGAAUCACAAAAUAUCCCUAGUGCUGGACUAGAUGUUGUUGAUAUGGCUUCUCAGGGAACUCAAAGUCAAACCAUUCAUAAGGCUGAUGGCCAAGUCAGAAGCUCUGCUGGAGGCAGGACAAUGAGCUUUUCCCAUUUUUAUUGUCAGUGCUUGAUGGGAAAUUUCUCUAAUGUGGUAAGAAUCUGGACUGGAAGAGUUGGAAACAGUAAACUAAAAUAGGUGGCUUUGGGCAUCAGAUGAAGUAACGCCUGCUUGCAGUACCAGUGAAGCUCCUGGGAAACACUAGUUAAAAGGAACACGGAGAAAUGGUAUACCUGGUGUGUGUACCACAACCCUCCACCAUCACAACCAUGAGCUUCUGUAAAAUGGACUCAGCGAAACAAAACAGUCACCGGUAAAAACGUUGCUGGCAGAUCUCAUGGAGUUACUUUAAUUAUUCCGUGUUCCUGCUUUCAGCAGCUGAGGAUGACAAAUACGGUAGACCCGUCCUUCACCUCUUCACCUCCUUCCUUCACCUCUCAAGCAUUUUGUCUGAUCACACUUUUCUCCAUUUACCUUGGUGGCAGUGGUCUUGGAGCAGCCUGCCCACAGAAGAGGUCUGUGUGACAGAAGAGGAGUCACCAUUAUGAUGCACUCCAUGGGGUAUUUUCUGAGGGCAAGGUUGUGAUAACUUGCCCUGUCCCAGCUCCUGCCUUCUCCCCCCGUAGCUCUGCUGUAUGUUGUUGUACUCUCAUUGCCCUGUCAGCUGGCAAACCAGCCUUUUGCUGGGGAAUGGUGAGACUCUUCCAGCGUCCAGCCUCUGCAACCUCUGCAAGGUCUCUGUGUCCUGUCACCAAUGUGGUGUUCAGCAGUAGGAUGGUAUGAUCUUAUUUAUGGUCUGUUUUCGUAUUUCUGGUAAGAGGGAGGAUGGGGCCAUGUAAAAGUUAACUGUUGGCUACCUGCCUGAUGGACCUAAGGACUGAUCACGGUGGGUGUGAUUGGUUUUGGUUUAAACAAACAGAAUCUCUUAUGAAGGUUUUUGUAAUAGAUUUUAAAAUCAAAUUAAUUAAUUAAGUUCAAAGCGUAGUAAAUUCAGAACGCAAAUCUGAAGUUGAAGCAACCUCCUUUCCUCCUCACCCCAGCAAAAAAGACUAUCUGGGUUUGUAGACUGGAAGGUCACUGGUGGGUGACAAAGGAGACCUUUGUUCCGCUCGUGGCCACACUCCUUGCUCACAGGCUGACCUCCUUCGGGCCAGCUCCUCUCGCCCUGCUUGAAAAGGGAAUGUAACGAUGCUGACCUGUUUGCCAAAGUGCUUUGAGAUCUAUCUGUGAAAAAUUGCUGGGAGUGAGCUACCUUUGCAAACUUUGCAUGUUUCACUUUGGGACGCUACUUCAGCUUGGAAAAUAUUACUUCCUAAAUUUGGUGAGGUUUUAGCGUUUAUGAUUCAUUCACUGAGAAUUCCUGACUUCCCUAGCCUCUUCCCUUAUUUGUAGGUAUUUGCUGACUAGUUCAGUAAAUGGGCUGUUCUGAGGCUGUUUGCUGCACUUGACAUCACUUACCCCUCCGUGCGCCUGAGUCACGCACCACCAGGUCGUACACUGGCGUGUAUCAACUGAGAUAAGGCAGACGGAAGCAAAACCCCAGCCUGGAGCACAGCCUGCGGCCGGGCACGGGGUGGGGGGGUGGGGGGGGAUGGGGUCCAGCCCCCCUUCCCCACGCCUGGGCUCUGCCACUGUGUGACUCAGGGCUGGCUGAGCAGGCGGACGGGCUUCUGGCAGGUCACAGGCUCGGUAACAGCCGAGGACAAGGAGGAGCUGUUAUUCGGUGUGCACGCCGUAGUACUCUCCGUGCAGACAGGGGAUUUGGCACGUAAAGCCGUGAGCUAAGCACUGCGUGAAAGGUAACUGUGACAGAAGUACACCAAACACGUUUUGUCUGUGGUUACUUCCUUGAUAAAAUAAUCUGCAGACUGCGACAGCUCUUUCCUUUAGCCACUUUCCUUUCUCCCAUAGCUCCUAUUUUAAGAAUAUUCCUGUCCUGUAUUCUGAAAAAAAAAAAGUGUCUCGUUACUUUGAAGCCUCCUGCAAGGAACAGAGAUGCAGUCACAACCUGCUCAUGCUUUCUCAUAAACUGAUUUAAAACCUUGUCCGUGGCGACACUGUGGUCUCACCUGGUACUCAGCCUGAUGUCUUCCACGAAAACACACAGCUGUCCCUUAGUGGGAGACUAGUGCUUCGAUAAGGGGUCUUAAAUAAGGUGUCUUUUUAUUACUGUUGGGUUUUUUCUGAGUAAAGAAAGAAGCUUAUGCUGUGUGCCAUCAAUGACAUUACAAAGCAUGUAAUAUAAUGACUUGGUACUUUUUUUUUUUUCCGAUGAAAAUGUAGCUCUUUUUUCACUCUGUUUUUUAUGCAUUUGGGUUUGGGUUUUUUGUGGUUUUGUGUUUUGUUGGGGUUUUUUUUUUUGGUUUUUUGUUUUUUUUGCAAAAAAGGUAGCUCUAAGUUUUUUUCAGUCUGGUUAUUUCACAGCUUCAGAAUUUGUUGUUCAAGUCCCUGGUUACUACAUUUCCACAGCUGAAGAUAAAGACUUGAAACCCUGAAUCUCUUACAGCUCAGGAACAUGACAGAAGUUAGCCCCCCUAAAGGUCACAGACAGCUUGUUUCUGUGGGAGAGGAGGAGGUGAGGAGGAGGAGGAGGAGGUAGCCGAGCUGGCACGGGACAUGAGCAGCCAGCACCGCUGUCAGCGGGGCUGCUGGCACCCUGGGGCUCUUUGGAACAUUUUCUCUGAGUCUGAAUUCUUCCAGCCUAGUUUAGUCUUUCUGGGCUCCCUUAAAGGUCAGCUGAGAGAAAACAUUAAUUGUUUUUUUCCAGAGGGAGCUGCUGCUCUUCUCUAUCUUCUUUUUUUCUUUUUUUUUCUUUUUUUUUUUUUCCCUCUCUCUCCAUUUGGUGAUGCAGGGAAAGCAUCUAAAGCAUGGUGGUGUGAGAGAAGUUAGCUGCUUCGGCUUUCUGCCUUCCCCUGUAGUAAACUGUGUUCCCUGAAUGAACGAGCGAGGCUUAGUACCAAUUCUAUUCCCAACAGUCCUCAUACGCAACCUAAAAAAAACUCAAACCCCACACAUACCCCUUGUAGCCCACGGCUUUUUCUGGAGCUGAUGAAAAACAGAGCUGAUGUCAUGGGCUAUUUUUAUACAGUGAUGUCUAAAAUGCUUUAUUUUUGUAAUAGUGAACGACUGUACUAUACUUGUAAGUAGAUUAUUUCAAUUUUAUUGUUUCCAUUUACGUAAAUUGAAAAAUAUCAGAGCUGAACUCAGCAAGUCUUUUUUAUUAUUAUUUUUUUCCCCCAAAUUGCUUUUGAGUUGGUCAGCCCCACUUCCACCCCUGUCCUCUUUGGCUAAGUCUUGUCCAUCGGCAGACACCAACACAGGACAUCAGCCCUGUGUCCUCGUGCUGUCCUAGCAGCCGUGACAAGCUACCAAAACUUCACAGAGAAGUUCCUGAGGUGGUGGCAAAGAGCGAGAACCCAAAUGUCCAGCUUUGAUGUUUGAUGAGUAUUUGCCAUUAACCAUGUCAGAUAUAGGCUGGGUGUUUUUCCAGUUUUUGGGUUUUUCCUCCUUUGAAGCUGCUGAAGUGUUUGGGCAGCCAUUCUGUUUCCUGUCAACUCCCACUUUUACUUUUUUUCUUAAAAGUAAUAUUAAAAGCGCUUGGUUGGGUUUUUUUAAUUAUUUGUUUGUGCUUUGGGGUUUUUUUUUUGAGUAGCAGAGUCUUGCCUGCUGGGUUUACAUUUCUGCCAGCAAAGUCCCUGCUCCUGCCAUGUGCUUGACACCCUUUUGCUGCUCACUACCAACCCAGGUGGGCACAGCACAGCCUUACUCUUGGAGCCAUCCAUUAAAGUGCAUUUUUUGGCAAUUCAAGCAAAUCUGCAAAAUUGAAAAAUAAGAGUUCACACAAUGGAGCACAGGAUGCUGCUGAAUGCAGAGCUGUUUGGAAAAAGAAACUGUUUAAUGAAAGCAAUACAGGUUCUCUCCAUCCUUGCUUUCUAGAAAUCAAAUCAAGGAAAUAAAAAUAUUUUGGGUUUUAUUCAGGCCCUACUUUAGCUUAAGUCUGCCUUACCUGAGGGAAACAGGUGUGACUAAGGUGGUAGGCAAAGGGCUCUUUUCCAAAAGGAUUCAGGUACCUAGUGUCAGUCUAAGAUGCUUCUGUCUAAAUGCAGAUCUCCCAAACCUCUUUGCUGUCCUGGGGGACCUGAAAACCUAACUCCAGGCCUCAGCAAUUGUACCAGAGCUCUGCAUGAAAUGGUGGUGGCUGCUUUUUAUCUGCUUAUUUUGGAAAAGGGAGUUAAACCCAUUCAUCUCUCUUUACUGCCCAAGGCCAUUCAAAUUCAUGUAUCUCACUUCCCUGGAGAACGCCUAAGCAGCUAACUAGAGAGUGCCCUGGAGUAAAUGCUGCCUUUGUUACACCUCCUCCUGGUUUGAAGUAUAAUUAUGAAGGUAUAGACACACACACAAGACUGGCUGUGCCUGUGUGGUUGUUAAAUACUCGUUGUAGGCUCCAGUUCUUACUCCAAGGAUGUUAAGGUUUAUUUCUAUAUUUAUUUCUAUACGUCUAUUAUUCAGUGAAUUGUUCGGUUCAGAAAGGAACAAAGCUUAUUGAAUCUUCAAAAAAGCUUGCAUUAAUUCAUAUCCAACAUUUGGGUCCAUACACAAACACACGGACUCUAAAGGCCAACCUCCAUGAUAUAUAACUGAGCAAAACAUUUUGAAGCCUGCUGUGUGCCACCGCAGAGCCAGCGUGGGCGGUAAGCACCAGCCUGUGUAGCAAAAAGGAAACACUCUUGUUGCCUGCCCAGAGCAGGUGCGGCGUCAGGCUGGGAUGUUUUCAUAAACACAGUCUCAUACUUCUCGGUUACAUCUGUGUCAUUUAAAGAAAAAUAAAAGGAUAAUCUUCUCAUU